rnacentral:misc_RNA from 1 species
AAGUCGUAACAAGGUUUCCGUAGGUGAACCUGCGGAAGGAUCAUUAAUGAAAUUUAUGACUGGGGUUGUAGCUGGCCUUUAAAACGGCAUGUGCACGCCUCUUUCACUAAUCCACACACACCUGUGCACCUUUGCGGGGGUUCUUGGGGAAUCGACGCAAGUCGGUAGUACCUGGAGCUCGCGUCCCUUUACACACCCCUUUGUAUGUCCUAAGAAUGUCUACUCGAUGUAAUAAAACGCAUCUAAUACAACUUUCAACAACGGAUCUCUUGGCUCUC